rnacentral:rRNA from 1 species
UUGAACGCUGGCGGCAUGCCUUACACAUGCAAGUCGAACGGCAGCACGGGAGCAAUCCUGGUGGCGAGUGGGCGAACGGGUGAGUAAUAUAUCGGAACGUGCCCAGUCGUGGGGAUAACGCAGCGAAAGCUGUGCUAAUACCGCAUACGAUCUAUGGAUGAAAGCGGGGGAUCGCAAGACCUCGCGCGAUUGGAGCGGCCGAUAUCAGAUUAGCUAGUUGGUGGGGUAAAAGCUCACCAAGGCGACGAUCUGUAGCUGGUCUGAGAGGACGACCAGCCACACUGGAACUGAGACACGGUCCAGACUCCUACGGGAGGCAGCAGUGGGGAAUUUUGGACAAUGGGCGCAAGCCUGAUCCAGCAAUGCCGCGUGCAGGAUGAAGGCCUUCGGGUUGUAAACUGCUUUUGUACGGAGCGAAACGGUCUGCCCUAAUACGGUGGGCUAAUGACGGUACCGUAAGAAUAAGCACCGGCUAACUACGUG